GGAGAGGUGGUCGAGAGGCUUAAGGCACACGCUUGGAAAGCGUGCAUACUGUAACAGGUAUCGGGGGUUCGAAUCCCCCUCUCUCCGCCA
rnacentral:tRNA from 1 species